UACGAAGGGGGCUAGCGUUACUCGGAUUGACUGGGCGUAAAGGGCGCGUAGGCGGCUUGUACAGUCAGGCGUGAAAUUCCUGGGCUCAACCUGGGGGCUGCGUUUGAUACGUAUGGGCUUGAGUUCGGAAGAGGGUCGUGGAAUUCCCAGUGUAGAGGUGAAAUUCGUAGAUAUUGGGAAGAACACCGGUGGCGAAGGCGGCGACCUGGUCCGAUACUGACGCUGAGGCGCGAAAGCGUGGGGAGCAAACAGG
rnacentral:rRNA from 1 species